AACGCGAAGAACCUUACCUGGGCUCGAACGGCUUAAGAUCAUCCUUGGAAACAGGGACUUCUCGCAAGAGACUUGAGUCGAGGUGCUGCAUGGCUGUCGUCAGCUCGUGUCGUGAGAUGUUGGGUUAAGUCCCGCAACGAGCGCAACCCUUGUCCUUAGUUGCCAUCAUUAAGUUGGGAACUCUAAGGAGACCGCCGGUGACAAACCGGAGGAAGGUGGGGAUGACGUCAAGUCAUCAUGGCCUUUAUGGCCAGGGCUACACACGUGCUACAAUGGCAGGUACAGAGGGAAGCCGAACGCGCGAGCGGGAGCCAAUCCCAGAAAGCCUGUCGUAGUCCGGAUCGGAGUCUGCAACUCGACUCCGUGAAGUCGGAAUCGCUAGUAAUCGCAGAUCAGCAUUGCUGCGGUGAAUACGUUCCCGGGCCUUGUACACACCGCGAGC
rnacentral:rRNA from 1 species